rnacentral:lncRNA from 1 species
UCGAUUGGUUAUGGUAGCUUAUGAAUGAGUGUUUUUUUUACGUGCGAGUUCAUUUAUCUUUUUAAGGUAUGAGUUCAUUUUUAAGGAAUGAGUUCCUUUCUAAGGUAUGAGUUCAAAUAGGUCUAUUGUAGGAAGGAGGGAGUAAUAAUUAAAAUAACUAAAUAAUUUAAACUUAAAUUUUUUUUAGAUGAAUUAAAAGUCAGAAAGACAUCAAGGAGAAUUUUAGACAUUCCGACUAAGUCGACACCUUUAAAAAACCUUCAUCCUCUGUCACUCACUCAUAUAAAUAUUAAGAAUAAAAAUUAUAAUUAAU